UGGAAAUACAUGAAAUGGGGGAUGACACGCAGCAAAGAGCCGCAGGUCGGACUGGAACCCGCCCCGCUGCAAAGGAUUCAGCCUACGCGUCCG